rnacentral:misc_RNA from 1 species
AAGUCGUAACAAGGUUUCCGUAGGUGAACCUGCGGAAGGAUCAUUAUUACGUAUCCACGUAUCAACCCAAUCGUGAACUGUUUCCCGUCUGAUGAGGACUUCUGCGACCAAUGCAACUGAAUGCAUGAUGGACCUGGUGGGUAGCAAUUUAUUGCUUCGCCAGGCUGAGCUGGUCGGUCCUAGUCUUGCUCUGCAGGGCUAGCUCAUUGGAUGUGGUUUUUUCAUCAUGCGAACAACUAACCCCAUGUACAAAAUUGAACUAACUAUUGCUACCCGAUCAAAAGGGUGGUAAAGACCGAAAUUAAGAAACAACUCUUAACAACGGAUAUCUUGGUUCUG